CCCCUUCGGGGGCAGAGUGACAGGUGUUCCAUGGUUGUCGUCAGCUCGUGUCGUGAGAUGUUGGGUUAAGUCCCGCAACGAGCGCAACCCUUGAUCUUAGUUGCCAGCAUUCAGUUGGGCACUCUAAGGUGACUGCCGGUGACAAACCGGAGGAAGGUGGGGAUGACGUCAAAUCAUCAUGCCCCUUAUGACCUGGGCUACACACGUGCUACAAUGGACAGAACAAAGGGCAGCGAAACCGCGAGGUUAAGCCAAUCCCACAAAUCUGUUCUCANUUCGGAUCGCAGUCUGCAACUCGACUGCGUGAAGCUGGAAUCGCUAGUAAUCGCGGAUCANCAUGCCGCGGUGAAUACGUUCCCGGGCCUUGUACACACCGCCCGUCACACCACNAGAGUUUGUAACACCCNAAGUC
rnacentral:rRNA from 1 species